GCAAGGAGUCGCAUGACAGGGAGGGACACCCGAGACCAUGCCCACCAACCACCCGUGAAGCAAGUGGCAGAAAUUGGCCCCGGGCACCAGAGCCCCUGCUGCUGCCUCUUUCCCCCAAAUAAACACCAGUCAGCCAGCCAAGUGCAGAGAAGCAAGGGCGGCAGGGUGGGGUCGGUACUCACCUCCUCAGGAAUGACCGGAUCCGCAGUCUAAGAGGACGCAGUGCCAGCCUCCGACUCCAAGUCCCAGUUGAAAAGAGCCUGGCCCUGCUCCAGGCCACCGCCAGCGCUCAGCACCACCAUCUUAUAACCAAGAGCCAGCCAAGAGACAGCCGCUGGGCCGGGAGGGGGAGGGAGCGGAGGGCGGAAAGAGGUCAUUCUAAAGUCCUAAAGUAUCCAGAUGAGAGACAACAAGAGAAGCAUAAACUCUGGAGUCCAAAGAUCAAGAUUGUAUUGUCGGCAUGUUUCAUCUUGACUAUAUAAUCUCAAAACAGUUUCUGAAGCUUCCACAGCAUACAAAUUAAAUGUAAGUCCUUUUCAUUGGACAUAGCCUGUCUACUCCUGGAUACUUUGCCCUAAAUCCAAGUGCUGCCAUGGGCAAUGUUGAUAUGCUGAAACCUUCCAUCCCAAACAGUGUUCCUGGAACCUGUGAUGAUCCAAGCCAGAUUGCAGGCUGCACAGAAACAGAGAACACCUUCCUUUUGUGGUGGUGUGGGCCAUAGGAGCAUCAAGAUAAUAUCAUCUUGCAUUCUAAGUUCUUACAGACAUUUUAGUCAGCACGAUGCUUUUAGGUUUUGCUCACAAUCCUUUUUUCCCCUAAGGUAGUUGUGUAUUUACAGAAAACUGGAGAACAAAAUCUAGAUAAGAAGAACAAUGCAGAACCAUUGCUCUAGUUGAUGACUGAAACAUUGUUAAGAGCAUUGCUGUUGUGUCUGACCCUUUCUCCCCUGG